GACGAACGCUGGCGGUGUGCUUAACACAUGCAAGUCGAACGGUAAGGCCCUUUCGGGGGUACACGAGUGGCGAACGGGGGAGUAACACGUGAGUAACCUGCCCUCAUCUCUGGGAUAACAGUCGGAAACGGUUGCUAAUACUGGAUAUGAGCUUGCAAGGCAUCUUGUGGGUUGGAAAGAUUUUUUUGGUUGGGGAUGGACUCGCGGCCUAUCAGCUUGUUGGUGAGGUAGUGGCUCACCAAGGCUUCGACGGGUAGCCGGCCUGAGAGGGCGACCGGCCCCAUUGGGACUGAGAUACGGCCCCACCUCCUACGGGUGGCAGCAGUGGGGAAUAUUGCACAAUGGACGGAAGUCUGAUGCAGCAACGCCGCGUGCGGGAUGACGGCCUUCGGGUUGUAAACCGCUUUCAAUUGUGACGAAGCUUUUUGUGACGGUAGCAGUAGAAGAAGCACCGGCUAACUACGUG
rnacentral:rRNA from 1 species